GGGGUUAUAGCUCAGUGGUAGAGUGUGUGCUUGGCAUGCACGAGGUCCUGGGUUCAAUCCCCAGUACCUCCA
rnacentral:tRNA from 1 species